GGGAUUGUGGCUCAGUGGUAGAGCACUCUCCUCGCAUGUGUGAGACCUGGGUUCAAUCCUCAGCACCA
rnacentral:tRNA from 1 species